rnacentral:lncRNA from 1 species
GUUCCUCCUUCCUGGGGCACCCUCGAGGCUUCCACUGUGGGCUGCCUCGCUCAGCUCUUUCUCAGCUAGUCCCUCCUCAUCUUCGUUCCCACCGGGCGAGAGAAACCACCUGAGUCCCAGGCUCAGAGGCCGCUAAGGGGAAGGAGCCUCCAGGUGGCAGCAGGCCCAGCCUCUGCCUGUGCCCUGUGCAGGGCACCAGGCCUAGUACAGCAUAGGCCUCCCGAGGCUGUGUGGCAGGUAAGGUGCAGGCGGACUGGAGCUCAGGACUGGUGUCUGCAGAGGCUGCGCCUAGUGUGACACGGAGGCCGAGGCUCUGGGAGGUACAGGAGACGAUGCUGUGCAGGGAGGAGAGGUGCCUCUCUCUCGUGGGGCCAGGGAGGUGAGCAGUGUCCCGGGGGUCGGGAGGGGGUGGCUGGCUGGGCACCAGCUGGGAGCGGCUUCCGGUUUCCAGAGUUUUCCGCCAAGGACAAGAGAUAAUUUGAUUGAGGCGAUGAGUCACCCAGGCUCUGGGGCUUAAGGCCGACCUGCGUACUAGGCUGGGCCUGGCGCUGGGGAACGGGGACCAAGGAGCCCUACCGCAAGCUUCCUCCCAUGACCAGAACCAGGACGAGAGUGUGGCUGCUGUCUUGGCUCUGAGAGAGCGAGGGCAACAGCACAAAGGCACCAGGAGACAGAGACCUUGAGCUGCACGCUGCACAGAAACUGGAGCCGGGAGCUCAGAAGGCGCGUCCUCGGGGCUGGGCAGGUGCCCCACAGCGACAGCUGCCAGCUGCCCAGAGAGCCGGAACACAACAGGAAGCUAGACUCAAGAGGAAUCUCUGUGCUGGCCAUUCCUGGCAGCAGGCAGCUGUGCUUCUCUUCCACCGAAUGAGGAUGCUAAGCAACCGCCUCUGGGAGUCUGUGACCUGCAGCAUGCAGAGCCUACUGGCACCCUGGGCACGCUCUGUCUCCCAGGAGGCAGCCAUGACCAGUUCCUAUUUUACAGUCGAGGAAAUGUAAGCUCCAAGGCUGUGACUUGUCUGCACCACACAACGAGACAGUGACUAUCGAGGGCUCGGCCGACUGUCCCACCUCUGUUCUGCUCCAGGGUGACAGAUGGCGCCACCUGCUACAGCUUGGCAUCCCGAGAAGGCUCUAGAAAGGUGCUGCCAGAGCCCUGCUCCACACCAGCGAAUGGGCUGUCACAGAGGCCUGGUGGGCAUCUUUCAAAGCCCUCCCUGUGGCCCCAGCCCCUUCCCAGUGACUGUGUGGCCCCCUUCUAGGCAGUGAGGCAUCCUGGGAACCCUGAGCAAGGCUCCCCUGCUCCUCAGAAAGAAACACUAGAGAGAAGCGCUCCCCUCUUUAGCUGCGUAUGCCGGUUGGGACUCCGGGGACUGCCCUGCCACAUCACUUCCAGUCCCGAAGGAAGACAGUGCAAGGGCGCAAUCCCCAGAGAAGAGAGAUGGAGGAGAUUCCCUCACCUCGAGACCCCCGCCCCAGCUCCCCUGUGGUUUGGGGUAGACAGUUCCUGGCUGGCUGAAUCAGUGCAAGGGGGCAUUUGUUAUCCACAACAGAAAGCCUGAGGCAACAGCUGAGAAUUCAGAACUCGGAAAAUUCAAAAUUAAGGAAACAUAAUGCCUGGCCAGUACUAUGGCUGUAAUCCCAGCACUCUGGGAGGCUGAGACAGGAGGACUGCAAGUUCACAGCCAGCCUAGGCUACAUAGCAAGUUCAAGGGCAGCCUUGAGCACAGGGAGACCCCGUCUCUCCCAAAAAUAAAACAGGGUGCAUUCAUUUAGCUAUUAAUGUCUCUAGUUUGUCUUUAUGACUGAGUAGUACUCCAUUCUCUUAAGUGAAAUAAAUCGGACACACGUGUGUAAAUGCUGAAUCGUUUCUCUGGUGCGAGAAAGUGAAAGUGUAAAUGAGGACCAAAAUGUAUAAUAGAUAUUGUGAAACAGGAAGAAAAUAGUAAGAGGGGAAAGAAAAAGAAGGAGAAAAUGGAAACAAAGCUUACGUUAAAAGGGAGAGGUGGAGGGGUGGAAGGGAGGGAAGAGAAAUGGGAAAAAAUAAGAACCAAAAUAUAUCAGGCACAGGGACAAAUUCCCAAUGAUGAAUGUGAUCAUAAUGUAUAACUAAAAUGUGCCAAUAAACUUAAUGAAUAAAAAUAAAUAAAUAAAUAAAACAGGGGCAAACAUUGAGCUACUUCACCAAAAUAGACAUAUGGAUGGCAAAAAAAAAGCACGUGAAAACUUGCUCAGUAUAAUCUGUUAUUAGGGAAAUGCAAAUUAAAACUCUGAUGAGAUGUCAUUAUACACCUAUUAGAAUGAUCAAAACUAAAAUGAAC